GGAUGGGUAGGGGAGCGUCGUGUGCCGGGUGAAGCUGCAGCGGAAGCUAGUGGUGGACGGUUCACGAGUGAGAAUGCAGGCAUGAGUAGCGAUACACACGUGGGAAACGUGUGCGCCGAUUGACUAAGGGUUCCUGGGUCAAGCUGAUCUGCCCAGGGUAAGUCGGGACCUAAGGCGAGGCCGACAGGCGUAGUCGAUGGAUAACCGGUUGAUAUUCCGGUACCCGCUGUGAAGCGUCAAACAGUGAACCAGGCGAUGCUAAGUCCGUGAAGCCGCCCCGGAGCCUUCGGGCAAGGGGGAGUGGUGGAGCCGACGGACCAGACCUGUAGUAGGUGAGUGAUGGGGUGACGCAGGAAGGUAGUCCAUCCCGGGCGGUGGUUGUCCCGGGGUAAGGGUGUAGGCCGUGCGAUAGGCAAAUCCGUCGCACAUUGAGGCUGAGACCUGAUGCCGAGCCGAUUGUGGUGAAGUGGAUGAUCCUAUGCUGUCGAGAAAAGCCUCUAGCGAGUUUCAUGGCGGCCCGUACCCUAAACCGACUCAGGUGGUCAGGUAGAGAAUACCGAGGCGUUCGGGUGAACUAUGGUUAAGGAACUCGGCAAAAUGCCCCCGUAACUUCGGGAGAAGGGGGGCCAUCACUGGUGAGGAGAUUUACUCUCCGAGCUGGGGGUGGCCGCAGAGACCAGCGAGAAGCGACUGUUUACUAAAAACACAGGUCCGUGCGAAGCCGUAAGGCGAUGUAUACGGACUGACGCCUGCCCGGUGCUGGAACGUUAAGGGGACCGGUUAGUCAGGAUUCGUCUUGGCGAAGCUGAGAACUUAAGCGCCAGUAAACGGCGGUGGUAACUAUAACCAUCCUAAGGUAGCGAAAUUCCUUGUCGGGUAAGUUCCGACCUGCACGAAUGGCGUAACGACUUCUCGACUGUCUCAACCAUAGGCCCGGUGAAAUUGCACUACGAGUAAAGAUGCUCGUUUCGCGCAGCAGGACGGAAAGACCCCGGGACCUUUACUAUAGUUUGAUAUUGGUGUUCGGUUCGGCUUGUGUAGGAUAGCUGGGAGACUGUGAAGUGGGCACGCCAGUGUCUGUGGAGUCGUCGUUGAAAUACCAGUCUGGUCGUGCUGGAUGUCUAACCUGGGUCCGUGAUCCGGAUCAGGGACAGUGUCUGAUGGGUAGUUUAACUGGGGCGGUUGCCUCCUAAAGAGUAACGGAGGCGCCCAAAGGUUCCCUCAGCCUGGUUGGCAAUCAGGUGUUGAGUGUAAGUGCACAAGGGAGCUUGACUGUGAGACCGACGGGUCGAGCAGGGACGAAAGUCGGGACUAGUGAUCCGGCGGUGGCUUGUGGAAGCGCCGUCGCUCAACGGAUAAAAGGUACCCCGGGGAUAACAGGCUGAUCUUCCCCAAGAGUCCAUAUCGACGGGAUGGUUUGGCACCUCGAUGUCGGCUCGUCGCAUCCUGGGGCUGGAGUCGGUCCCAAGGGUUGGGCUGUUCGCCCAUUAAAGCGGUACGCGAGCUGGGUUUAGAACGUCGUGAGACAGUUCGGUCCCUAUCCGCUGCGCGCGCAGGAACAUUGAGAAGGGCUGUCCCUAGUACGAGAGGACCGGGACGGACGAACCUCUGGUGUGCCAGUUGUCCUGCCAAGGGCAUGGCUGGUUGGCUACGUUCGGGAGGGAUAACCGCUGAAAGCAUCUAAGCGGGAAGCCUGCUUCGAGAUGAGUGUUCCCACCCACUAGAUGGGGUAAGGCUCCCAGUAGACGACUGGGUUGAUAGGCCAGAUCUGGAAGCCCGGUAACGGGUGGAGGUGACUGGUACUAAUAGGCCGAGGGCUUGUCCUC
rnacentral:ncRNA from 1 species